rnacentral:rRNA from 1 species
CCGUUUGUGGGGGACAACCACCCGAAAGGGUGGCUAAUACCGCAUAAGACCUGAGGGUGAAAGCCGGGGACCGCAAGGCCUGGCGCGAACGGAGCGGCCGAUGACUGAUUAGCUGGUUGGCGGGGUAAAGGCCCACCAAGGCGACGAUCAGUAGCUGGUCUGAGAGGACGACCAGCCACACUGGAACUGAGACACGGUCCAGACUCCUACGGGAGGCAGCAGUGGGGAAUUUUGGACAAUGGGGGCAACCCUGAUCCAGCCAUGCCGCGUGCGGGAAGAAGGCCUUCGGGUUGUAAACCGCUUUUGUCAGGGACGAAAAGGUGCGGGUUAAGAGCUAGCACUGAUGACGGUACCUGAAGAAUAAGCACCGGCUAACUACGUGCCAGCAGCCGCGGUAAUACGUAGGGUGCGAGCGUUAAUCGGAAUUACUGGGCGUAAAGCGUGCGCAGGCGGUUGGGUAAGACAGAUGUGAAAUCCCCGGGCUUAACCUGGGAACUGCAUUUGUGACUGUCCGACUGGAGUAUGUCAGAGGGGGGUGGAACUCCAAGUGUAGCAGUGAAAUGCGUAGCUAUUUGGAAGAACACCGAUGGCGAAGGCAGCCCCCUGGGGCAAAACUGACGCUCAUGCACG